rnacentral:rRNA from 1 species
AAUGAACGUUGGCGGCAUGGAUUAGGCAUGCAAGUCGAGCGCGAUGUGUAGCAAUACACGGAAAGCGGCGGAAGGGAGAGUAAUACGUGGGAAUCUGCCCUUAGACCUGGGAUAGCAGCGGGAAACUGCUGGUAAUACCAGAUAACGUCUAUGGACCAAAGGUGUGAUUCCGUCUAGGGAUGAGCCCACGUCCUAUUAGCUAGUUGGUAGGGUAAUGGCCUACCAAGGCGAUGAUGGGUAGCGGGUGUGAGAGCAUGACCCGCCUCACUGGGACUGAGACACUGCCCAGACACCUACGGGUGGCUGCAGUGGAGGAUCUUCGGCAAUGGGCGCAAGCCUGACCGAGCGAUGCCGCGUGCGGGAUGAAGGCCUUCGGGUUGUAAACCGCUGUCGAGGGGGAGCAACUUCCAUAGAGUUAUCUUUAUGGAUUGAGUGAUCCCUGGAGGAAGGACGGGCUAAGUUCGUGCCAGCCGCCGCGGUAACAC